UAUCUUUGCAACGGAAUUAGUAAUCGGGCUAUCACAUAGCCCGAUGCAAGGGAACCCGGUGUAAAUCCGGGGCUGUACCUGCAGCUGUAAAUCCUCAUGAUGUUGAUUGGAUAGUCUAAAACCACUGUUUCAUUUGAAGAAAUGGGAAGGUUUCCAAUCAGAGGAAAGCCAGAAUACCUGCUAAGUCUGUUGAACAAUA
rnacentral:ncRNA from 2 species